CAGUCGCCGCGGUAAUACGAAGGGUGCAAGCGUUACUCGGAAUUACUGGGCGUAAAGCGUGCGUAGGUGGUGGUUUAAGUCCGUUGUGAAAGCCCUGGGCUCAACCUGGGAAUUGCAGUGGAUACUGGGUCACUAGAGUGUGGUAGAGGAUAGUGGAAUUUCCGGUGUAGCAGUGAAAUGCGUAGAGAUCGGAAGGAACAUCUGUGGCGAAGGCGACUAUCUGGGCCAACACUGACACUGAGGCACGAAAGCGUGGGGAGCAAACAGGAUUAGAUACCCCCGUAGUCCUGUCUCUUAUACC
rnacentral:rRNA from 1 species